rnacentral:rRNA from 1 species
UACAGAGGGUGCAAGCGUUAAUCGGAAUUACUGGGCGUAAAGCGUGCGUAGACGGUUAUUUAAGUCAGGUGUGAAAGCCCCGGGCUCAACCUGGGAAUUGCAUUUGAGACUGAAUAGCUAGGGUGCGGAAGAGGGAAGCGGAAUUUCCGGUGUAGCGGUGAAAUGCGUAGAUAUCGGAAGGAACCCCAGGGGCCAAAGGGGGUUCCCGGUCCAGGCACGACGUUCAGGCACGAAAGCGUGGGGAGCAAACAGG